rnacentral:rRNA from 1 species
CCUACGGGAGGCAGCAGUCGAGAAUUUUUCACAAUGGACGAAAGUCUGAUGGAGCGACGCCGCGUGGAGGAUGAAGGUUUUCGGAUUGUAAACUCCUGUCACUGCAGAACAAGGUAACGCAUGUUAAUAGCAAGCGUUAUUGAUGGUAUGCGGAGAGGAAGGGACGGCUAACUCUGUGCCAGCAGCCGCGGUAAU